GAUGAACGCUGGCGGCGUGCCUAAUACAUGCAAGUCGAGCGAACGGACGAGAAGCUUGCUUCUCUGAUGUUAGCGGCGGACGGGUGAGUAACACGUGGAUAACCUACCUAUAAGACUGGGAUAACUUCGGGAAACCGGAGCUAAUACCGGAUAAUAUUUUUAACCGCAUGGUUCAAAAGUGAAAGACGGCCUUGCUGUCACUUAUAGAUGGAUCCGCGCUGCAUUAGCUAGUUGGUAAGGUAACGGCUUACCAAGGCAACGAUGCAUAGCCGACCUGAGAGGGUGAUCGGCCACACUGGAACUGAGACACGGUCCAGACUCCUACGGGAGGCAGCAGUAGGGAAUCUUCCGCAAAGGGCGAAAGCCUGACGGAGCAACGCCGCGUGAGUGAUGAAGGUCUUCGGAUCGUAAAACUCUGUUAUUAGGGAAGAACAUAUGUGUAGGUAACUGUGCACAUCUUGACGGUACCUAAUCAGAAAGCCACGGCUAACUACGUG
rnacentral:rRNA from 1 species